rnacentral:rRNA from 1 species
GAUGAACGCUGGCGGCGUGCCUAAUACAUGCAAGUCGAGCGAACAGAUGAGGAGCUUGCUCCUCUGACGUUAGCGGCGGACGGGUGAGUAACACGUGGAUAACCUACCUAUAAGACUGGGAUAACUUCGGGAAACCGGAGCUAAUACCGGAUAAUAUAUUGAACCGCAUGGUUCAAUAGUGAAAGACGGUUUUGCUGUCACUUAUAGAUGGAUCCGCGCCGCAUUAGCUAGUUGGUAAGGUAACGGCUUACCAAGGCAACGAUGCGUAGCCGACCUGAGAGGGUGAUCGGCCACACUGGAACUGAGACACGGUCCAGACUCCUACGUGAGGCAGCAGUAGGGAAUCUUCCGCAAAGGGCGAAAGCCCGACGGAGCAACGCCGCGUGAGUGAUGAAGGUCUUCGGAUCGUAAAACUCUGUUAUUAGGGAAGAACAAAUGUGUAAGUAACUAUGCACGUCUUGACGGUACCUAAUCAGAAAGCCACGGCUAACUACGUG